CGGCUGCUCAGUAACACGUAGUCAACUUACCCUAUGGACGAGGAUAAUCUCGGGAAACUGAGCAUAAUACUUGAUAGAUCAUAAUGCCUGGUAUGGUUUAUGGUUGAAAUGAUUCAUCGCCAUAGGAUGGGACUGCGGCCUAUCAGCUUGUUGGUGAGGUAAUGGCCCACCAAGGCAAUUACAGGUACGGGCUCUGAGAGGAGAAGCCCGGAGAUGGGUACUGAGACAAGGACCCAGGCCCUAUGGGGCGCAGCAGGCGAGAAAACUUUGCAAUGUGCGAAAGCACGACAAGGUUAAUCCGAGUGAUUUCUGCUAAAGAAAUCUUUUGCAAGUCAUAAAACCACUAGUGAAUAAGGGGUGGGCAAGUUCUGGUGUCAGCCGCCGCGGUAAAACCAGCACCUCAAGUGGUCAGGAGGAUUAUUGGGCCUAAAGCAUCCGUAGCCGGCUCUGUAAGUUUUCGGUUAAAUCCAUGUGCUCAACGCAUGGGCUGCCGAAAAUACUGCAUAGCUAGGGAGUGGGAGAGGUAGACGGUACUCGGUAGGAAGGGGUAAAAUCCUUUGAUCUAUCGAUGACCACCUGUGGCGAAGGCGGUCUACCAGAACACGUUCGACGGUGAGGGAUGAAAGCUGGGGGAGCAAACCGGAUUAGAUACCCGGGUAGUCCCAGCUGUAAACGAUGCAGACUCGAUGAUGCAUUGGCAUAUAGCCAGUGCAGUGUCGCAGGGAAGCCGUUAAGUCUGCCGCCUGGGAAGUACGUACGCAAGUAUGAAACUUAAAGGAAUUGGCGGGGGAGCAG
rnacentral:rRNA from 1 species